GGGUAGAGCACUGUUUCGGCUAGGGGGUCAUCCCGACUUACCAAACCGAUGCAAACUCCGAAUACCCAGAAGUGCCGAGCAUGGGAGACACACGGCGGGUGCUAACGUCCGUCGUGAAAAGGGAAACAACCCAGACCGCCAGCUAAGGUCCCAAAGUUGUGGUUAAGUGGUAAACGAUGUGGGAAGGCUUAGACAGCUAGGAGGUUGGCUUAGAAGCAGCCAUCCUUUAAAGAAAGCGUAAUAGCUCACUAGUCGAGUCGGCCUGCGCGGAAGAUGUAACGGGGCUCAAACCACACACCGAAGCUGCGGGUGUCACGUAAGUGACGCGGUAGAGGAGCGUUCUGUAAGCCUGUGAAGGUGAGUUGAGAAGCUUGCUGGAGGUAUCAGAAGUGCGAAUGCUGACAUGAGUAACGACAAUGGGUGUGAAAAACACCCACGCCGAAAGACCAAGGGUUCCUGCGCAACGUUAAUCGACGCAGGGUUAGUCGGUUCCUAAGGCGAGGCUGAAAAGCGUAGUCGAUGGGAAACAGGUUAAUAUUCCUGUACUUCUGGUUACUGCGAUGGAGGGACGGAGAAGGCUAGGCCAGCUUGGCGUUGGUUGUCCAAGUUUAAGGUGGUAGGCUGAAAUCUUAGGUAAAUCCGGGGUUUCAAGGCCGAGAGCUGAUGACGAGUCGUCUUUUAGAUGACGAAGUGGUUGAUGCCAUGCUUCCAAGAAAAGCUUCUAAGCUUCAGGUAACCAGGAACCGUACCCCAAACCGACACAGGUGGUCGGGUAGAGAAUACCAAGGCGCUUGAGAGAACUCGGGUGAAGGAACUAGGCAAAAUGGCACCGUAACUUCGGGAGAAGGUGCGCCGGCUAGGGUGAAGGAUUUACUCCGUAAGCUCUGGCUGGUCGAAGAUACCAGGCCGCUGCGACUGUUUAUUAAAAACACAGCACUCUGCAAACACGAAAGUGGACGUAUAGGGUGUGACGCCUGCCCGGUGCCGGAAGGUUAAUUGAUGGGGUUAGCGCAAGCGAAGCUCUUGAUCGAAGCCCCGGUAAACGGCGGCCGUAACUAUAACGGUCCUAAGGUAGCGAAAUUCCUUGUCGGGUAAGUUCCGACCUGCACGAAUGGCGUAACGAUGGCGGCGCUGUCUCCACCCGAGACUCAGUGAAAUUGAAAUCGCUGUGAAGAUGCAGUGUAUCCGCGGCUAGACGGAAAGACCCCGUGAACCUUUACUGUAGCUUUGCACUGGACUUUGAGCCUGCUUGUGUAGGAUAGGUGGGAGGCUUUGAAGCGUGGACGCCAGUUCGCGUGGAGCCAUCCUUGAAAUACCACCCUGGCAUGCUUGAGGUUCUAACUCUGGUCCGUGAUCCGGAUCGAGGACAGUGUAUGGUGGGCAGUUUGACUGGGGCGGUCUCCUCCUAAAGAGUAACGGAGGAGUACGAAGGUGCGCUCAGACCGGUCGGAAAUCGGUCGCAGAGUAUAAAGGCAAAAGCGCGCUUGACUGCGAGACAGACACGUCGAGCAGGUACGAAAGUAGGUCUUAGUGAUCCGGUGGUUCUGUAUGGAAGGGCCAUCGCUCAACGGAUAAAAGGUACUCCGGGGAUAACAGGCUGAUACCGCCCAAGAGUUCAUAUCGACGGCGGUGUUUGGCACCUCGAUGUCGGCUCAUCACAUCCUGGGGCUGAAGCCGGUCCCAAGGGUAUGGCUGUUCGCCAUUUAAAGUGGUACGCGAGCUGGGUUUAGAACGUCGUGAGACAGUUCGGUCUCUAUCUGCCGUGGACGUUUGAGAUUUGAGAGGGGCUGCUCCUAGUACGAGAGGACCGGAGUGGACGAACCUCUGGUGUUCCGGUUGUCACGCCAGUGGCAUUGCCGGGUAGCUAUGUUCGGAAAAGAUAACCGCUGAAAGCAUCUAAGCGGGAAACUUGCCUCAAGAUGAGAUCUCACUGGGAACUUGAUUCCCCUGAAGGGCCGUCGAAGACUACGACGUUGAUAGGCUGGGUGUGUAAGCGUUGU
rnacentral:rRNA from 1 species